rnacentral:lncRNA from 1 species
UUUAAACCGUUUAGUCCAGCAAUCAACCACAUGACCAUGUCAAGUAGCAUAAACAGAAAGGGAGAGAUAUGAUGGACAAUGCUCCCAUCUUAAAGAAGAAUAGUAGUCAGUAAACCAUCAGUACCGAGAAAUUGUACAUAGAGAUGAGUUCUUGCCUGCGUGUAAUAUGUUGACCUCCACUUCUGGUUCCACCUCUCCGCCACUACAACCAUUGGCAAACACACAAAGAGCAAAUCAAUAAACAUAAGUUUAGUUAAGCUAUUCAGAUAUCAGAGCUUCAAUCUAUUGAUGAUUCAGUUCACCUCUUCCGAUACCUACUCCACUGUAAGCAAACUAAGGAUGACCUGCUCCCAAGAUCCAUAGCAAAGCUCAUAUUCAGAAAGGAAAUGGACUACUAAUACCUGCAUUAAUAUGCACCAAAGUUUAUAUAAUGUCCGAAAAGAGAAAGCAAAUUUAUAAAUGGUAAACACUAAUGAGUGAAACUUAAAUAGUCCAUCCAAUGAUUCUUAACAGCAAUCCAAUUCUGGCAUUUAAAUCCUAACUAAUCAGGGUAAUAAUUCUUUUCUCGCAAAAAAGGGUAAUCAUUCUUGACAGCAACCCACAACUACAAAACCAAGAAAAAACUUAGUAAUCCUAACAGGCAUGAAUGAAUAGCAAAAGGGGAACAUGACAAAGAGAUACACACAUAGAGUGAGAGACAUGAGAUCCUCACAAUAGCACCCCAUGUUCAACAACUUGCAGCUCCGGCUUGCCGCUCAGCCGACGGACACAGCACCCAACACUCACUGCAUCCACGACUCUGCUGGUUCACUGUAUUGAGCAGCAGAAAAAAGGGUCAAAACUGUGUGUAUGGAUGUCUAUGAGACAUGAACCUGGGAUGUAGUACCUGAGCGUAUGCGCAACACAAGUACGACGGCUGAUGACCCCAAUAGAGCAGUGGCAUGAGCCGCGGCCCGCGUUUCUCCAGUCGACGGAGACGGCACCCAUCAGCGCUACCGUGCUCGACCACCACACACAUGCAGUGAAUCAAAUGAUCGAUUUUAUUUAACUAUUCACAAAGUUCCCUAAAAAUUCCGUGUCUAAAGUGCAAAAUUUGAGAAAACAGGUUUCCCCAUUAUUUAGAUGCAAGAGUGUAAAUCGAAAACUUGACUUGAUAGCACAAUCUGACAUAUAAGUUCUAAUUACACAUGGAUAAAGACAGAUGGCCAAUUACCUGAUAGACCUAUUGUUGUGGUUAUGUUGUUGUCCAUCCAAUAGAAAAAAAGGUAUCAUUUCUUCUGUAGGAAUCUCCGAGGCACACACGAGUUGUCCUGACCAAAGACAUAGUCAGUGUAAGACCAAAAUAAGUAGACCAACAAUCUUGAGACAUCUCAUAUUCAAAAGCAUAUGCAGAAAGACCUACCCUGGCUACCCUGCAACCAAUUCGUCUCCUAGUACUGGAUAGGAACAAAAACUUCCUUGAGAAAGGACACACCCUCAGACCAAAUCGGUCCUCCUCGACAGGAAAAAACCAGGUACCCAACAAGCUAAGGAAGGCAACAAAAGCUACUGUGCUGAUACGUAGGACACAUCUAGUUUUACCCAUCCCCUCAAUUCUAUAUAGGAUCUCUGGUAAAUGCUAAAACUCCAGAGCCAAAUAGCUCACCAGAUCUUUGUUAUUCAACAACACCAAUUAGAAGGCUCACUCUAACCACCAAAAGCACCAAAGCAUACCACAAGGCAUCACCUAUUUACUAUAUUACCUCAGGAAUCUAUAUAAACCUAAGCUUCUCUUUAAUAGGAAGAAAACCCGGUAAUGAAACAACGAACCUAGCUAAAUCCAAGGAUCUACUUGACGGGAAGGCACCAACAAAACAAGAAAGCCCCCAAAAUGUCCUCCUUUGGAACAUAGCUACCUAAGAAUCUGCUGCACAAGAAGAAACCCGAGACAUUUUUGUAUCAACCUAGACAAUCCUACUAAAUGGUACAUGAACAUAAGAGGGGAUGGAGCUCAACCAGCGGGAGCAUGACCAGUGCGGCCACCGGCGGCACAUGUGAAGCAGAGAUUGCUCGGAAUCGCCCAUGUAAGGAAGAACCCAACAACAUGACGCACCAACAAACAAAUUAGUAGGUUACUUCUAGGACAUAGCAGAAUGGUACAAAAAAUCCUAUGUUCUACCAGGAUCCAAGGAAGGAACAAAAAACACAUACCUAUAUUCCACACAAAAAAACAAGCUCAGAUGAAAAGGAGACCACAAAAAUACAAGCAGGGAAUAAUAUUCUUAGACUCUAGCCAUCUACCAAUAUAGGAGUACAAGAAACAAACACACCCAUUGACCAGCAUGCAUACCAACAGAAACGACAUGCAAAAAUAAACUGAAUCUAAUAGCAGCUCUACAUAGGAAAUCUAAGGAAAAUACAUGGCUGCAAAAAUUCAAGCCUAGCCUAAAAGCAAAGAAGGGGAGAAGAAAAGAGGUCGACCUGCAAAGUUGUGGACGAAGAGUAGCGCUGGCACAAAUCAAAUGAUGAACCGGCCAGACCAACGAGCAUCUGCAAAUA